rnacentral:rRNA from 1 species
UACGGAGGGUGCAAACGUUGCUCGGAAUCAUUGGGCGUAAAGCGCACGUAGGCGGCCUGUUAAGUCGGGUGUGAAAGCCCUGGGCUCAACCCAGGAAGUGCACUCGAAACUGGCGGGCUUGAAUAUGGAAGAGGGUCGCGGAAUUCCCGGUGUAGAGGUGAAAUGCGUAGAGAUCGGGAGGAAGGCCGGUGGCGAAGGCGGCGCUCUGGAACAUUUCUGACGCUGAGGCUCGAAAGCGUGGGGAGCAAACAGG